GAUGAACGCUGGCGGCGUGCCUAAUACAUGCAAGUCGAGCGAACAGACGAGGAGCUUGCUCCUCUGACGUUAGCGGCGGACGGGUGAGUAACACGUGGAUAACCUACCUAUAAGACUGGGAUAACUUCGGGAAACCGGAGCUAAUACCGGAUAAUAUAUUGAACCGCAUGGUUCAAUAGUGAAAGACGGUUUUGCUGUCACUUAUAGAUGGAUCCGCGCCGCAUUAGCUAGUUGGUAAGGUAACGGCUUACCAAGGCGACGAUGCGUAGCCGACCGGAGAGGGUGAUCGGCCACACUGGAACUGAGGCGCGGUCCAGACUCCUGCGGGAGGCAGCAGUAGGGAAUCUUCCGCAAUGGGCGAAAGCCUGACGGAGCAACGCCGCGUGAGUGAUGAAGGUCUUCGGAUCGUAAAACUCUGUUAUUAGGGAAGAACAAAUGUGUAAGUAACUAUGCACGUCUUGACGGUACCUAAUCAGAAAGCCACGGCUAACUACGUG
rnacentral:rRNA from 1 species